CCAGAUUCGGGGAAACCUAAAAAUCCGUUGGCUUUUUAGACCGUGAGGGUUCAAGUCCCUCUACCCCCA
rnacentral:tRNA from 1 species